rnacentral:rRNA from 1 species
GACGAACGCUGGCGGCGUGCUUAACACAUGCAAGUCGAACGGAAAGGCCCUGCUUUUGUGGGGUGCUCGAGUGGCGAACGGGUGAGUAACACGUGAGUAACCUGCCCUUGACUUUGGGAUAACUUCAGGAAACUGGGGCUAAUACCGGAUAGGAGCUCCUGCUGCAUGGUGGGGGUUGGAAAGUUUCGGCGGGUGGGGAUGGACUCGCGGCUUAUCAGCUUGUUGGUGGGGUAGUGGCUUACCAAGGCUUUGACGGGGAGCCGGCCUGAGAGGGUGAGCGGCCAGAUCGGGACUGAGAUACGGCCCAGACUCCUACGGGAGGCAGCAGGGGGGAAUAUUGCACAAUGGGCGGAAGCCUGAUGCAGCAAAGCCGCGUGCGGGAUGACGGCCUUCGGGUUGUAACCCGCUUUCGCCUGUGACGAAGCGGGAGUGACGGUAAUGGGUAAAGAAGCACCGGCUAACUACGUGCCAGCAGCCGCCGUAA